GUGACGGGAAGAGCACUGUCAGCCCAACACAGAAACUCUGCCGCCUGGAGUCACGUGGAUCCAGAUGCGAAGGGACUCCAACGUCAUGCUAAGGAGUUUGGGCUAAGAAUUUGUACAGCCAUAUUACAGAUUUGGAAAAUGAUGUGAAGAGAAGCUAAGGGAUUUGCCACUGCCACUCAGCUGCCAAGGAUCAGAGGCAGGAUUCUAGUCUGUCCCCUUUGUUCCAUCACCCCUGCCUCCCCCUGGGCCCAGCCACCAUCACCUCUCCUGGGGGGAGCUCCUAAUUGUUCUCCCUUCUUCCUCUUGUGCGCUCCUCCAAACUAUCUCCAGCCAAAGUGAUCUUUAACAAUGUAAAUCCAGUUAUAUCACUCUUUCCAUUGUAACAGACAUUACUUCUACUUCUCAACGUCCAUCCUCCAACCAUUGUCCAGUGAUUCAGGCAGAAUUCCCUCCUGCUCAGGAGGUGAGUCGACCCAGUAGUGCCACUGGCUCUGCAACAGGAAUUGGUUAGCAGGGCUUUGCAUCUCCUUGGCCACAGACGUUGGGCAGGUGUGGAAAAAGGCCAUCAGCUAGAUGCUCAAGAUUGAAUUCUGAGAUUGUGGGGGUGAUGCUCUUGCUCUCAUCCCUGUCUGCAGGUAGCCAUCCUGUGACCCUGGAAGAAACCAGCCCAAGGAAGGUGCUAACCUACAGAAGAAGGACAUGGCCAGGGUAAUCACAUAGACCCGGAGUUGAAGCCCUGACUGCACCACACCCGAAGCCUCCCCACCUUUCAACCUCUCGGUGAUGGUGAACCAAUAAACUCUUUUUAUUGUUCAA
rnacentral:lncRNA from 1 species